GUGCGAACGUUGUUCGGAAUCACUGGGCUUAAAGGGCGCGUAGGCGGGUCAGCAAGUCCGGGGUGAAAUCUUUCGGCUCAACCGGAAAAGUGCCUUGGAUACUGCUGGUCUCGAGGGAGGUAGGGGUUUGUGGAACUUCUGGUGGAGCGGUGAAAUGCGUUGAUAUCAGAAGGAACGCCGGUGGCGAAAGCGACGAACUGGACCUCUUCUGACGCUGAGGCGCGAAAGCUAGGGGAGCAAACGGG
rnacentral:rRNA from 1 species